UACAGAGACUGCAAGCGUUAUUCGGAUUCACUGGGCGUAAAGGGUGCGCAGGCGGCCGUAUGUGUGAGGCGUGAAAGCCCGGGGCUUAACCCCGGAAUUGCACCUCAAACUAUACGGCUAGAGCAUUGGAGAGGGUAGCAGAGUUCAUGGUGUAGCAGUGAAAUGCGUAGAUAUCAUGAGGAAUACCAGAGGCGAAGGCGGCUACCUGGACAAUUGCUGACGCUCAGGCACGAAAGCGUGGGGAGCAAAAGGG
rnacentral:rRNA from 1 species